ACAGCAAACAUGACACGAGACAGGGAGAGCCUUACUCCCCUCUGCGGUGGUUGUCACUGUCACUCAGGCAGACCCGGUGUCAGCAGCCGCGUCAACAGACACCGUCACCCGUACUUAACAGUCAUCCCCAGGCGUGUCACAGCUCUGCCAUGGCACUUUCAAUUAUAUUUGAAGUUUCUUCCCAUAUGUCUUUGUCUCUUUUGAUUGUAAAGUCUAAUGAGGGUAGGGAGUUCUGGUUGGCACAUAAUAAAUAUUAUUGAAUUUAAGUGAAAAUUUCAAGAUAUCAUAGAAAAGGGGUCUAGGAAUACUCAAAAUGAAAAUAUAUUUCUCCUUUGUGUGUGCGUGUGUGUGCGUGUGCGUGUGUGUACGUGCGCACACAUGCACGUGUAUUUCUAUUCAACAAAUAGCAAACGAAUUUUAAAUAAUACAGAAUAAUAGAGCCUUGCUACAACCUAACUUUUAAUAUCAUGAAAUUUUUAAGAUUUUAGUCUUCAUCUGAAGGGCUGUAAUAGUCAGAAUUACUUAGAUUGUGUUAUUGCCCCUGAGUGUCUGUUAUAUCAUUAGCUCUAAAGAAACGUCUUAGCUUACGGUAUAGGGAAUGCCUAAGUCCCAAACUGGAGAACAUUGAAUAUUUUCUGUGUGUUCUUCUUGUUCUCUUUUGUUAGCAUCUUUCUUAAUCGGAAGCAAUCAAUAUAAGCAAAAGAACCUCAGUGUUAUUGAGUGUAGUUGUCAGUUUUGAACUGAAUUUCUAGAGGAGAUACUAAAAGUGUGCAUAGCUGAUAAAUCGUACGCAGUAAGCGACGUGAAUGAACACACACAGUGAGCAUAGGCUCAUAUCAGCAGCCUCUUAGCCAUUGCUGGGGAUGGCGGGCAGAAGCGCUUACCCGUCAGUGUCCCCAGUUGUAAAGUGAAAGGCUUGGACUAGGCUUACUCAUUUUUCAGAAUGCUGGUGUGCUAGAUGCUAGUGCCAGAAACGCAAAGGUGAGCAAGACGAGGGGACGUGCCUGUCUUCUGGUGACUGGGGAGACCUGGGUGAAUUUCAAGUUCUUUGCCCUCUAAGAUCUCAGACGCACGGCGUGAUGGUAUAGGUUAAGUGAGAUGGAUAAUAAAACAGUAUUCCGCAUUUGCUUUUUACUCAGAAGCACAGUUUACUGAUGUUUGUAUAGUUAAAAUUUUCAUUGGAAUACAGUUUUAAUGCUUGAAUCGGGAUAAACAUAUUGUCGCUAUUUUGUGUAGUCAUUGGCUCUUGACUUUAAAUAACAGAAAAUUGGUCAAUGUAUUGACCGCUCGUAGACUGGGGCUUUGUCAGACAGAUGCACUGUAAUGACCGCAGGGUCCCGUAAGAGAGUUCGCUUUGCACAUCGACGCUUGCUCAGGGCUAGAUUGGCAUUAUUUGCUGUGGCUUUGCAGACCACUUGGUAGAGGGGACAGCGCAUUUGUCUAUUGAUUUGAAUGUUGUGCAGAGGGAACAACCAAUUAAGAAAUAUGAGUUAUUUAGCCCACUUACAACGAACAAUGGAUGAUGAAUGAGGACAAAGAAAUAAUCAGACAGUCACUGUCUUAGUAAAUUUGCCCCAACGAGGUUUUGGGGAUUGACCAGGAUGACCUAGAGACACUCAGAGGAAGAUAAUGAUUUUGAAUCCAUAUUAUAAAUGACUCCAGGAUUGCAGGCGUGUUAUACUUCUACCAUGUGAAGAAAUGUGUGAUAAAGUCAACAGUAAAACAGGUACCUAUUUACAGAUUGGAAUAACAUAGUAUUCCUCUGCGUAACAGGAGUGAUGUUUUCAUGGUAAUAAACCAAUGUGGAUUUUUUUUAAAUUUUUUGCCAGUAGUUUUAUGGUUUCCACGUGAGGAGCCUAAUAGCUCAGAUGAUGCCGUUUAUCCUUCAGUGGAGUGAAAAUACCUUUUCUAUGGUCGAGGCUGGGAACUGGGGUUGAAUGUCUUCUGGGAGGAGGAAGAUAUAAUGGAGGAGAAGGCUUAGCUAGAGAAAAAGCAGAAGCUUCUUUCCUGAACCUAUGGAUUCGGGAAGGAGAAGAGGGGUGGGCGAAGGGGUCAGGUUUCCAUGCGCUCGAUUUCCUCCUCGUGGGAACCAAGCCCAGUGUACGUGUGCAAGACUCUGGCCACGCCGUCGGGUCUCGUGGGGGAAGCAAGCUUGGGGAGGCUGCGGAACCGAGGGAGGAUCUCAUAGGUGGCCUCUCCAAGAUGGCAGGGGGACAACGAGCAUGGCGGAGGGGGUUGGCUAGUAGACGGCAUGGAGCAGCAUUCUUGGCUGCACAGGAAGGCACAGAGUGCCAAGGGCUUGAGAAAUUUCCUUAUCCUCUCUGGUGAGAGGGUGUGGAGGGCUGAUGGUUGUCACUGGACCAUCAGAGCUGACACAGAGAGGUCUCUGUGAGGGACCUCACGACCAGAGCCACAGAUCUAAGAGCACAGACUCAUGGUGGAGCCAUCAUGGCGCUUCGAUAGACUCACCACAUAAUAGUAGGCACGUGUUCAGGAAUCAGAUCAGACCAGUCCCAUCACAGCGGAAACUACAGAGGAUCUGGAGGACACAGAGACGCAAGAUCACCCUCUGCCACAAUGCCACGAGCCUCUUGUGUGCCCAGACGCUGUAUGGGGUAGAGCCAGGACGGAGGGCCGUUCCAGUGACCGCCGUAAGAUAAACCACGCAGACGCUUACUGAUCUGGAGCCGCGAUGUAUUCAGCUCAUGGAUUUUGUCAUCAGAUUUGAAGAAGGCGUGGCGAGGGUGAUUUUUCUGCACCACAUGAUGUGUGAAGCCUUAUCUAGGGACAGUCACUGGCUGAGAGUGACUCGAUGCCUGGGGCUGGAAUCACUGGGAGGGGUCUUCGCUCACCAGUCUGGUGGCUGACGGUGGCUGUUGGUGAAGACCUCAGCUGGGGCUGCCAGCAGGAACACCUGUGCAUGGCCUUACACGUGGCCUGGUUUUCCAAACAUGGAAGCCUCAGAGUGGUUGGCCUUGUGUACAUGGUGGCCCGGAGUCCUACAAGCAUCUCAGUGGACAAGAUAGAAGGGAGGGUGGCCAGGUCAUGUUGCAGAUGAGCAAGUGGGGUGGGAGAUAUUGUUAUGGCAUCUUUGGAAAAUAUGGAAGAAUCCCUGGAAGAUAUUUAGAGUUGUACGGUAAAAAGAGACUAGCUAAACCCUAAGUAACAGGCGAUGCUAACUGGGUAGCUCAAAGUUUUGUUGCUCAGUGGAGUGUGCGCUUCGUGGAGAUUGGAUUUGUUUUCUUUUUCACGUGUUGUCGUCACGGAUAUUUAUUUUGUAGUCCUACUGUGUUAGCCUAGCUGAUUGGGGUUUAAGUUUGAAACCACUGUGUUCUCUGUGAAUGACAUUUUACUAGCUAGCCCGUGUCUCCAGGGCCUGAUCCCAAUUUCAGCUGUCUGAGAACAAACAUUUCUCUCUUGACCUAUCGUCAGUCUUCUGAGAACCUCCAAAUGAUGGUUGCCUACUUCUUGGGGUGCUCAGAAGCUCUUCACCUUCACCUUAAAUACCUGUCUCUGAUGCCUUGGAGAAUACAUGUCUCUUCCAAUUGUGAACAAAGUCUUCAGUGUAAAUGGUACUUUUACUCACUUUUAAAAAUUAUAUCUUUCCUUAUUAGUCCUCACGUCCCUCUGCUCCAGUCCCAGGUGAAUUUCAUGUAUGCCAUCCUGUCCAUUUACUAAAUUAGACUUUCUAAUCCCCCCGCCUCCAACAUGUUGAAAGAAAUCUACGCAGACAUGGCCAGAAACACAGAGAAGCAUAAACAUAUUUAUUAAGACUGGAGAAAUAUAUGCCUGUUAUCGAGUGACCAAAAUGAGGCGCCAUGCACAGAAAUGUCCCCUUGUAAGGGGUUUGGGAUGGAGUGGCAUUCAAAUGAGAACGCACCUGUGAUACAGAUGGAUGCACGUUCCCUGACUGAGAGGUGGUUCCUGCUCCUGAACGCGUAGGCAAGGCGAGAGAACCAGACGUGCCCCCAAGGAGAGCCAAAGGUGACCCCUUGGGGCCAGCGGGAAGGGAAGCCCGGAAGCUGGCUGCCUCUCUGGCCAUUUCGCCUGAGCCAGGAGACUGUCCAAAGAUGGAAUUUUAAACGGCAUAGUAAUCUUAGGGUCUAUGUGCCAUUUAAUGAUUUGCUAUUUUUAAUGUUAAUGUUAAAUGUUUAUGUGUUUAAUUUCGUGGCAAAUGUAAAUAGAAUGUGUCCUGUGUGCUUUAGUUAUUUCUACAGUUUCUGGGAGGGGGCAGGAUUUCACGGAAGGCUAUUAUUGGUGAUGUAGUUGAAAGGGCUUUAGACAGAAGAUUAUGUUUUGGUCACAAUUUUGCUAUUAAAUAAGAAGUUAUUCUUUUUUUGGUGACUUUAUGUUCCUCAUGUUAAACAUUAUAAAGAUACGUUAGAUAAAAUAAUUGCAAAGUUUCCAUCCAGUGUUAUGAAUCUAGCUAGUUCCUCUUAUUUGAAGGAGGUAAAGAAGAAAAAUAAAGAGUCUAUAGUUUAGUUUUACAUGAAACGAUUCUUGUGUGUAUCUCCUUGGUCACACCUGACAUUUAGGAGAUUUUGACUGUUUCUUGUCUAUGUAACUUUAAAUAGGUUCUGUAGACUCUUGACAAAAUAACUGAAGUAUUUUUCAUUAUAAAGGUGGAAAAAUUUUUCUGUACAAUAACAGCAAUUUACAUAAAUUUAGAAAUACCACAAAUGAAUAAAUGUGAAAUCAAAUUGCUCUUGAGGCAUAUGAGCUAAAUUUGAUUUUGUUGUAUGAUACAAAUGCUUCAUUUGUAUUCAUGUGGAAGAAUAGAAAAACCCGGCCGAGAUAGAAUACUUUGGGGAGAAAAUAGUCAAUUUAACUGCACUAACUAAGAGAGAUGACAGAUAUGUGUGAAAAAGAAAAGAAAAACGCACCUUCCUGUGAUAACUGCUGUGAAAGGUAAUAUUCCUGUUUUAGAAAAAGCUAAAUAUUUAGCUUUAUUCAGAUUGAAAGUAUAUUAUCUUAAAUUGUGGCUUGACUAUUUUGCGAUAUUUUAUUACUUUUGAGAUUUUACAUAAUAAAUUACAUCAACCAUUAGCUGAGCAUAGUUGAAGCACAUUAUUUUGAAAACCACAAAAGCAAAAUAAUCAUUUUCAUAGGGUUAAGACUAUGGAUUUGCAAUAUUUUUCUUUUUUAGCUAGAAUUCCCACCCCCCAAAGAACAUCGUAGGUGAAACUGCAGUUUGUGACAGAUUUAAAAAUUGACUAGGAUGGAGCUGGUGGCCCUGAGGGACUGCCCUUUUUUUUCACCCGACAAGGCUCCUUAUGUACCCCAGAGCCCUGGGCAUUGGAAGAGCAGCUUGAAAAUCAAUACGUUACUGUAGAAAGUAAUUCCAUGUUAGUAUUUACAUGACCACAUUAACUUACUACACCAUGACCGAUAUUUGAGAAGGACGUUAUUUAUUGGACUUUCUCCUUUUACAUAUAAAAGUCAGAUGAUUGUUUUCUUACUAAUAGAUAUUAAAUUUUAUGUCUCAAAGAGAGUGGCGUAUGAAAGAGAGGAAGUCUAGUUUAAAAUAGUGUUCCGACCACCUAGAAAUAAUUAAGUCAACUGGGGAGUUUAUGUGUGAGAAAUCAAUGAGUCUCCUCGAGCAAAUGAAAUAAGGUAUUGCUCCCAAGUUUGUUCGGAUUGCUACAUUAAAAUGCUGGCUAGAGCCAGAUGUUUGUGAAAAACAGCACUGUUGAUUUAUCAGAAUAGUAAAAAAUAUAUUUUACUUUGGGUUAUUUUCAUUGAAUCUCCUCGCUUUUGAAAGAUUUUGAAUGAUCGGAGUGUCAGAUCUGGGUGUUAAUGAGCGGCUCAGACUUUCUCGGGUGAGGUUGGCAGUGGCUGCCAAUCUCUCCUGUGUUCUGUGGCAUUUUUAGGAUGCGUUUGUCUUGUAGGAUGUUUGCCACUGAGCAUCUUCUGGAGGAGGAGGCCGAUAAAUACCUGAGUGCUGGGACACAGCGGCUGGGCUGAUGGAGGCCUUUGCUGGCGUCUCCACUAACAAAAGCAGACAGGCAGCCAUCGUCCUCCAGAGAGUGACUCUGACGCCACCACAGCGACCUGCAGCCUGCAGAAACGGGGAGGGAGCGAGUGGAAGGAAGUGGAUUGAGUGACAUCACCCCGGAGCUGGGCAUUCCCCUCGCGCCUGGUGUGGGACGUGGACGUGGUCUCCGGCCUGGCAGCCACGUGCUUUGCUAAACCUCGAGAGAGUCUCGUAAAGCUAAGGAGAACAAGGGACCCUGGAGAAUGCUUGGUCACUGCCACAAGUAAGAAAAGGAAUACAUAAUCACAUCAGUAUCACUUUCCUUACCUAUGAAAUGGGGACGAAAUCCUAUUUCGCAGUGUUAUUCUGAGAAAUAUAUGAGAACACGUGUGUUAGAAAAGUGCUUUAUAAACUGUGCAACACUAAACUAUUAUUUUUUACUUCUCGUUAUUGAUACUAGUAUCCAUAAGACAUUUAUUUAUAUACACGUAAUAACCUAGUGCACGUUCGUUCUUUCAUAUGGUAGUCCGUCUUGCUUUUUAAUUAUAGAUUUCUUGAUGGCAGAGUCUCAAUUUAAGUUGCCAUGUAUGAGACCUAACUCAAUGUUGUAGAUGUAAUAAAACUCUGUGGGUAAAGUUAGUUAUCAAAAUCUUGCAGGUUUAAAGUUCUUUGGGUACUUAAGUGGCUGGGGAACCCGAGAGAUAAAUGAACACAUUAGUCUUGCCUACACAUGGAAAACCAGUUUACUAAAUCUGCAUUUGCCUACUCGUAUUUGCCUUUGCCUGGUGGAUUCAUAUAACAUUUAGAAGCCUUCAGAAAGUAUGCGAUUAGUCUCCUUUUCAUUUAUUUAUUUGGAGAUGUAGCGAAAUAAAAUAUUUGGCUAUGCAGUUUCUAAA